UUUCCCUAGCCCUCAGCAGCCGAAAACCUUCCCCCAAAGCAACAACAACACACACGCUGCUCUUUGAGGAAACCAACAAAAAAAAAAAAUAUAGGGGGGAAGGCAGAAACCGGGAGAAGGGAGGAGAGAAGGAACGGAGCCGGCGAGGAGCCCAUUACCGCCGCCGCGUCGUCACUGGAUUUUGGAGGGAGGCCACGCCUUGAGCUGUCGCCGUCGCUCCACCACGAGCUACCAUCGCGAGUCAGGUCCGAGGCGAUAGGCAGAGAGCUGCUGCGAGGGAAGAAGAGGAAGAAGGGGGAAGAUCGGGCCGCGCCUUCGUCGCCACCGCGCCCACGCCGCGUCGCUGCCGUUGCCCUCCCUACAUCGUCGCCGUCGAGCUCGCGAGCGUGGAGGAGGCACAGCGCCGCUGGUUUCGUCGGGUUUCCGCCGUCGAACCCGUCCCUACCACCGCUGCUGACCACACGCACAGAGAGAGAGGGUGCGCGAAAAAGGAGCCGCCGCGGGGUUGCCGUCGCCAUUGCGAGGCUGGGUUCGCCGCUGUGGAGGGUCGCCGCCUUCCUCCGCCAUCACCGAAUAUCCAUCACCGGAGCUGCUGGACUCACCGUAUGCUACUGUUGUGUCGCCAGAACUGUCCUGAGGUUUUGCCACUCGUUCAGAUUUUGCUCUGUUUUGGGUUAGUGCUGCUGCUAUUGUUCUGGCCGCCGGAAGACCUCGAUGUCGCCACCUCUGCUGCCAGAAAUAGCCGCUGAGUCUUCUGUGAUGGAGUUUACCGCGAGUUGCCGUCGUUCUGGUCACCGGUGGUGACGUUGGUGUUGUCGGAAUCCACCACUGGUGCAGCCACUACCUGGUUCCCUCGAGUUCGAGUUGUUGAGACUGUUGCGAAAGUGGCUUGGAACCGAGGUUUUGGUUGCCGGGAUUUCUAUUGUUGACUUCGGGUUGAGGCAGAAAGGACUCUGUAACGCGUUUGGGCUAUGGUUUUGCGUUGAGGCCUCAAAUCUUUCCAUUCUUUGGAAUUGGAAUAGAUUGGACAGCUUCCAAACUCGCAGAGGGCUCAGGCAAGGAGAUCCAAUUUCUCCUUAUUUAUUUGUUUUGUGCAUGGGGAGAUUGGCAUGCUUCAUUUCCAAACAAGUUGACGAGGGUAUUUGAGAUGGUAUGGCUAUUUCUAGAGGGGGACGUAGAGUUUCUCACUUGAUGUUUGCAGAUGACCUCCUCCUUUUUUGUAAAGCAAAGAAAAAUCAAGUUCGGAAUGUUGUGCACACCUUGGAGUUGUUCUGCAAAACUUCAGGAAAAGGUGGAGGAGCGUUGCUUAAAUUUGGUCAAGUGGAGCAAAGUUGUCACUCCCAGAAAAUGUGAAGGCUUGGGAAUUAGAGAUACCCAAUAUGUAAAUUUUGCUUUAUUAGAAAAGCUUGUUUGGCAAUUACUACAUAAUAAAGAUAAGCUUUGGUAAGAAUUAUGUUGACAAAAUAUUUACCUGAGAGUUCUUGCUUUUCACCCAAUUUUUCUAAUAAUGUUUCAAGCACUUGACGAGUGAUUUAUAAGACAAUAGAAAAGCUUCGUGAUGAUUUUGAUUGGUAUACAGGCAGGAUGUCUCAAUUCUUUUGGUAUCAUGCUUGGCGACCAUGUGGAAUGCUAGCUCCUUUGGUUCCUUUUGUGCACAUUUCUGAUUCUCACUUGAAGCUAGAAGAUGUCUGGCACCAUUGACAUUGGCGGUGGGAUAUUCUUUGCACAAUGAUUUCAGAAGAAGUUAAACUUGAUUUGAUGCUCUUAUCCUAUCAAGCAGGCAGGAGAUAAAACAGGUUGGUUUUGGACAAACUCAAAUACUCUCACCUACUCGACUAAAAGUUGGUAUGAAUGGCUAUUGAAGAAGAAAUUUGGCUGGAAUGAUAAUGAAAAUUGGCUUUGACUUUGGUGCUUGAGAAUGCCGGAGAAGAUAAAGUGCCUGCUCUGACUUUGUCUCAACAACGAAGUUCCCACAUCUAGUUACUAGUUUCAAAGAGGUCUUGCUACUUCUGAUUUUUGUCAGAGAUAUUAUCUUGCUCUAGAGGAUAUUAACCAUUGCUUUAGGACUUGCCAAAAAGCUCGUCAGAUUUGGAUUAGCUUAAACUUGGGAAUGACCGCUGAGGACUCUAGUUUAGAUUUUGUGUCUUGGAUUCGUUCUAACCUCAUCAAAAAUGAGUUUCUCUUUGCAGCGGCCUUUUGGUGGAUUUGGAGGGAUAGGAACAAUGACAUCUUCCAUCAAGAUGAUCCAUGGAGUAAAGAGAAAAUUGUUCACUUAGUUAAACAUACUGCUCGAAAUUUCUCUAAUGUUGUUACCACCCAAAAACAUAUUAUUCAUUUCUCUUUGCAAUAUAAUUGGGAACCACCUCUAAUGAAUGUCUGUAAAGUAAACUGCAAUGCAAGCGUUUUUGAAAAUGAGCAAUUAACUGGCUUUGGAUGUAUUAUUAGAGACAGCAUGGGAAUUUGGAUAAAAGGUUGUUUUGCCACUAUACCUCUUUCUAGUGUUCUCUGUUGUGAGUUUCAUGCUAUUUGAAGAGGGCUUUUUAUGCCUUGGGAUUGCAAGUGCAAAAAGGUCAUAUGUGAAACUGAUAAUCUUGAUGCGUUUCUUUUUGUUUCGCGAGGCACAACCAGCAUGAUUAGGAAUGACUCUGAUCUGCUUGACAAAAUCAAAGAGAUGCUCCAACGCAAUUAGACAGCUACUUUAGUGUUCAUCCAACGCACAGCAAACAGAGCAGCUGAUUUAAUGGCUAAGACUGCUACUUUAAACAAGCAAGUGUAUUUAGAGUAGUUACUGCCCCUAAUAAUUUGGAUAUUAUUAUUAAAGAGGAGUGCUAUUCUUUUUCUUAGGUCUUUUUUGUGUGUGUUAUAUUCGGUUAAAAAAAAAUAGCUGCAAUGAGAGAUUGAUUUGUUAUAUGUAGUGACUGAUUUAACAAUUAAUUUUUUUUUCAAAAAACAGUC